rnacentral:lncRNA from 1 species
UUUGAUUUAAAUUAUUGACUAAUUAUUCUGCUGUGAAGUAUUGGUAUCGUGAUAAGAUGCCUUGCAUGCUUAUGGAAAGAGUUUUCUAUGAGUAUGCGGCGGUUGCCAUGAUCCUCGAGUCACAAUUUCGGAUCAGAAGCGUGACAGCCGUACCAUGCACUGACAAAGUAUUCUGCCUCCUUUCUAGCAUAUAUAAUAGCUGCUGCAGCAUGACAACAUGGGAUACCAGUUAAAUCUCAUACCUUAUAUCCAUAAACACUCUUAUCCAAGUCAACUACAAAUCUGUCUGUGUGUUGCUCAACUUUAAAUCUUUAUCCUCCUCCCCAUAUACAGUGGCAGUUCAUAGCCUCCAACUUGACAUUCUCUAACUUCUUUUGAAUUUUCGGACAAAGAUUGCCUAUAAUUUUGUCCAAACCCUCUCUUUUAGCAUGGAACCGCUGCAUUAAUAGCCUCCGAAUACUCUCUAACAAGGUAAUAAAAGGCUUGUCUCGAGGAUCCACAAUAUACUUGUUAAAGGACUCG